UACGAAGGGAACUAGCGUUGUUCGGAAUCACUGGGCGUAAAGCGCGCGCAGGCGGAUAUUCAAGUCAGGGGUGAAAUCCUGAGGCUUAACCUCAGAAUUGCCUUUGAGACUGUAUAUCUGGAGUAUGUGAGGGGAUAGCGGAAUUCCGAAUGUAGAGGUGAAAUUCGUAGAUAUUCGGAGGAACACCGGUGGCGAAGGCGGCUAUCUGGCACAUAACUGACGCUGAGGCGCGAAAGCGUGGGGAUCAAACAGG
rnacentral:rRNA from 1 species